AUCUGUCAGUCAAAAUGGGAGGGAUAGCCUCAGGGCUGGCUCCACUGACUCCUACUGUCUUGGGUCGAACUGGAGGAGGCAAAGGAAGUCCAGGUCCCUGUUUUACUCAGCCUCUGCAUCCUUCUCUCAGCCCUACACUUCGCCUAGGAUCCACACCAGCCACUUGAGGUUUAAGGAAUGUGUUCAAAAUGAGGAAAAAAAACAUCUCUGGAGCAAGUUACCUGUGAAGGUUCAAAUUGCUGUCUCUUAUUAAAGGAUUACUGCAGGAGGGUGGAGGACUCGGAAAACUUGCUCUCAGUACAAGAAAUAAACACACAGGCACCUCGACCUGGACCAGAGCAGACUGAAUGCAGUUUGCAGACUGAGCCCAGGUAAUGGGCGUCAACCACUAUUUGACUUUUCCAAAAAUAACCAGCUGAAAAUGAAGCCCCAGGGGCUGCUGAAAUAGCUGAGAAGCUACAGCAGGUCCACCCUGGUUGCACCACAUCAAGAGAAUUUGCUGGUUCAUAUUCUAGUUGCCGCCUAUAUUAUCACUCACUUGCUAUAACUACACAUGUCAAUGCCCUCAAGCGUUCAAUUUCCCUGUGUCUUCACCUGAUGAACGUUCAAUUUACACAUUAUACUGUAUUAAGUUAUUAACAGCAUUAUAUAUUAGAUUUAUCAAAAGGCUGAUUCCUGUUUAUUUCAUUCUCAAUGGAAGUUAGAUGCCAAUACAUACUUAAUUAAGCAAAAGUAUUGAAAAUCACGUAAUCCUGACCCGUAUAUAUUACAAUUGCCUCAAAGAUAGGGAAUGGCUAGUGUCCCAAAAAACAAUUACGUGAGGUGACCGUUUUACUACAGAAACAAUCAACUUGAACCAUAUUUAAUAUAUAAAAGGUUAUUUUACUAUUAAAACAUUUAAAAUGCAUUAAAAAGAUCAAAAACAAAA